rnacentral:rRNA from 1 species
UUAAAUUGAGAGUUUGAUCCUGGCUCAGGAUGAACGCUGGCGGCGUGCCUAAUACAUGCAAGUCGAACGAAACUUCUUUAUCACCGAGUGCUUGCACUCACCGAUAAAGAGUUGAGUGGCGAACGGGUGAGUAACACGUGGGCAACCUGCCCAAAAGAGGGGGAUAACACUUGGA